CGCUGGAGGCUCACUUCCGGUUUCCGGCUCCGAGCGCGGGUGCUUCUUUUUUCCCCUUCCCGUCCAAGUCCCAGGUGCCUCCUUUUUUCGGGGGUCGGGAAGGAGAUAGAAGAAUAAAGCCUAUUCGUUCCAUAACUUUGGCUCUUUUGGAGGAGAUAAGCCUACAAUAUUCUCUUGGCAUUGAGCCCGGGAGACAAGACAGAUGCCAUGGAGGUGUGGAGCAAUGAGGAAUUCCCAUUGCUGAACUUGGUGAUCCUUGAACAGUUCCUGGUUGUCCUGCCGCCCGAGAUGGGGAUCUGGGUGAGAGAUAGUAGGCUGGAAUCCACUUCCCAGGCGGUGUCCCCGGUGCAAGGUUUCCUCCUGAGCCAAGCAGUGAAUGACAAACAGGAACAGCAGCUGGCAGUGGAUGCUCCAUCA